rnacentral:rRNA from 1 species
CCUACGGGCGGCAGCAGUGGGGAAUAUUGGACAGUGGGCGAAAGCCUGAUCCAGCCAUGCCGCGUGUGUGAAGAAGGCCUUCGGGUUGUAAAGCACUUUCAGUGGGGAAGAAAGCCUUGGGGCUAAUACCCUCGAGGAAGGACAUCACCCACAGAAGAAGCACCGGCUAACUCCGUGCCAGCAGCCGCGGUAAUACGGAGGGUGCGAGCGUUAAUCGGAAUUACUGGGCGUAAAGCGCGCGUAGGCGGUCUGAUAAGCCGGUUGUGAAAGCCCCGGGCUCAACCUGGGAACGGCAUCCGGAACUGUCAGGCUAGAGUGCAGGAGAGGAAGGUAGAAUUCCCGGUGUAGCGGUGAAAUGCGUAGAGAUCGGGAGGAAUACCAGUGGCGAAGGCGGCCUUCUGGACUGACACUGACGCUGAGGUGCGAAAGCGUGGGUAGCAAACAGGAUUAGAUCCCCGAGUAGUC